CUGCUCAGUAACACGUGGAUAACUUAACCUUAGGUCCGGCAUAACCCCGGGAAACUGGGGAUAAUUCCGGAUGUAUCAAGGNUGCUGGAAUGCCCUUUGGUUCAAAGCUUUUGUGCCUAAGGAUAGGUCUGCGGUCUAUCAGGUUGUAGUGGGUGUAACGUACCUACUAGCCGACGACGGAUACGGGUUGUGAGAGCAAGAGCCCGGAGAUGGAUUCUGAGACAAGAAUCCAGGCCCUACGGGGUGCAGCAGGCGCGAACACUUUACAAUGCGGGAAACCGCGAUAAGGGAACCCCGAGUGCCAGUACUAAGUGCUGGCUGUCUAGAUGAAUAGAUAUCAUUUAAUAGCAAGGGCCGGGCAAGACCGGUGCCAGCCGCCGCGGUAACACCGGCGGCCCGAGUGGUAACCGAUAUUAUUGGGUCUAAAGGGUCCGUAGCCUGUUUAAUAAGUCCUUUGGGAAAUCUGGCAGCUUAACUGUCAGGCUGCUAAAGGAUACUGUUAAACUUGGGACCGGUAGACGUAGGGGGUACUCCAGGGGUAGGAGUGAAAUCUUGUAAUCCCUGGGGGACCAUCUGUGGCGAAGGCGCCCUACGAGAACGGGUCCGACGGUGAGGGACGAAAGCUAGGGGAGCAAACCGGAUUAGAUACCCGGGUAGUCCUAGCUGUAAACGAUGCUCGCUAGGUGUCAGGCACGGUGCGUCCGUGUCUGGUGCCGCAGGGAAGCCGUUAAGCGAGCCACCUGGGGAGUACGGUCGCAAGGCUGAAACUUAAAGGAAUUGGCGGGGGAGCACUACAACGGGUGGAGCCUGCGGUUUAAUUGGAUUCAACGCCGGA
rnacentral:rRNA from 1 species